rnacentral:rRNA from 1 species
AUUGAACGCUGGCGGCAGGCUUAACACAUGCAAGUCGAACGAGUGGCGGACGGGUGAGUAAUGUUUGGGAAACUGCCUGAUGGAGGGGGAUAACUACUGGAACCGGUAGCUAAUACCGCAUACCAUAGGAUGUGCCCAGGUGGGAUUAGCUAGUUGGUGGGGUAAAGGCCAACCAAGCCGACGAUCCGUACCUGGUCUGAGAGGAUGACCAGUCACACUGGAACUGAGACACGGUCCAGACUCCUACGGGAGGCAGCAGUGGGGAAUAUUGCACAAUGGGCGAAAGCCUGAUGCAGCCAUGCCGCGUGAGUGAAGAAGGUCUUCGGAUUGUAAAGCACUUUAAGUUGGGAGGCGUUACCAACAGAAUAAGCACCGGCUAACUUCGUGCCAGCAGCCGCGGUAAUUC